CUGGCUUUGACGAACGGCGCUUGGGGUAAAAAAAAAAGUAAUUCUCAGAGACGCUAUUUUCCCCUGGAUUCGCGGCCGGAGAGGGUUGUACUCAUUGCGAUGGCGGAGGCGACGGGGGAUGGGUUCGAGUUCUUAUCCGAUCCGGUUGAUAGAUUCCCUGUGCUGGCGUUGAUGGCGGUGACUACGCGCCACCGGCGCAGCCCGCUCCAGAUCUGCUGGAUAUAGCAGGCGAGUCUAGCAUUGAUGAUGUGGGCGACCGGCCGCCGGCACUAAGUAGAACUGAACGGCGUUUGCUCGAGCAUGAGCUUGUCGGUGCCGGACUUAGAACAGUGAACAGGCAAGGACGACCGGCAAGGACGAUGGAUGGUAUUGCUUCUGCAAGUUCAAACCAUUUCGUUUCAGUUUCUUGAUUCUAGACGAUGGAUGGUAUGUAUUGCGUCUGCAAGUUCAAACCAUUUGGUUUCAGUUUCUUGAUUCUAGACGAUGGAUGGUAUUGCGUCUGCAAGUUCAAACCAAUUUGUUUCGGUUUCUUGAUUCUAGACUUGUCUUUUUGUUGCA